UUUUCUCAAAAGAGACUAGCGACAAAUCUGUCUAGUUUUCCUGGCAUUAUUGGAGACUUUUCCGGUGUUUGGCGACUCAAAAGUGAAAGCACCGGGUGCUGCCGUGAAGUCCCCACUGCCCUAAAGCAGUCACACGCGGUCAGUACACACAGUGUGCUCCGCCUGUGGCAGCAGAGCGGACGAGCUACACUCAUCCGCAUCCGAAGUGCAAAUGAAUCACACACGUGCGAUGGCGCUGCGGCUGAUCCUGCCCUGUUUUAGAGCGGGAUCUAAAA